ACGAACGCUGGCGGCAGGCCUAACACAUGCAAGUCGAGCGAGGACUUCGGUUCUAGCGGCGGACGGGUGAGUAACGCGUGGGAAUGUGCCCUUCUCUACGGAAUAGCCCUGGGAAACUGGGAGUAAUACCGUAUACGCCCUAUUGGGGAAAGAUUUAUCGGAGAAGGAUCAGCCCGCGUUGGAUUAGGUAGUUGGUGGGGUAAUGGCCUACCAAGCCGACGAUCCAUAGCUGGUUUGAGAGGAUGAUCAGCCACACUGGGACUGAGACACGGCCCAGACUCCUACGGGAGGCAGCAGUGGGGAAUCUUAGGCAAUGGGGGCAACCCUGAUCUAGCCAUGCCGCGUGAGUGAUGAAGGCCUUAGGGUUGUAAAGCUCUUUCAGCUGGGAAGAUAAUGACGGUACCAGCAGAAGAAGCCCCGGCUAACUCCGUG
rnacentral:rRNA from 1 species